GAAGGGGGGACGGAGAAGGCUAUGUCGGCCGGGCGACGGUUGUCCCGGUUUAAGCGUGUAGGUGUGUGUUCCAGGUAAAUCCGGUUCACUUUAACACUGAGGCGUGAUGACGAGGCACUACGGUGCUGAAGUGACAAAUGCCCUGCUUCCAGGAAAAGCCUCUAAGCAUCAGGUAACACGAAAUCGUACCCCAAACCGACACAGGUGGUCAGGUAGAGAAUACCAAGGCGC
rnacentral:rRNA from 1 species